CCUGUUACGCUCUCCUGGAGGAGAGGUUUUUCCCACACAGUCCUGAAUGUCAGAGGUUCAUACAGGGUGGGAAAAACCUCCAGUUAAGCUACGGUGGUUGUGGAGUCUGCGGUGUCCGCUGUGGUGCUUAUAGUCCUCGGCGUCAGCUAGGAACCAUGCGUUGGUGGAGGUGCCCAGUCAGGGUGCCAGGUGAUCCAUCACACUAACAAAUCACUUUUUUUCAUUUUCAGCUGCUCCACACAAAAAGAUCGCUU